rnacentral:rRNA from 1 species
CUCAGGACGAACGCUGGCGGCGUGCUUAACACAUGCAAGUCGAACGAUGAAGCCCUUCGGGGUGGAUUAGUGGCGAACGGGUGAGUAACACGUGGGCAAUCUGCCCUUCACUCUGGGACAAGCCCUGGAAACGGGGUCUAAUACCGGAUAACACUCUGUCCCGCAUGGGACGGGGUUAAAAGCUCCGGCGGUGAAGGAUGAGCCCGCGGCCUAUCAGCUUGUUGGUGGGGUAAUGGCCUACCAAGGCGACGACGGGUAGCCGGCCUGAGAGGGCGACCGGCCACACUGGGACUGAGACACGGCCCAGACUCCUACGGGAGGCAGCAGUGGGGAAUAUUGCACAAUGGGCGAAAGCCUGAUGCAGCGACGCCGCGUGAGGGAUGACGGCCUUCGGGUUGUAAACCUCUUUCAGCAG